rnacentral:rRNA from 1 species
CCUACGUGCGGCAGCAGUGAGGAAUAUUGGUCAAUGGGCGGAAGCCUGAACCAGCCAAGUCGCGUGAGGGAUUAAGGCCCUGCGGGUCGUAAACCUCUUUUGCCGGGGAGCAGAGGUCCGGACGUGUCCGGGCCGGGAGAGUACCCGGAGAAAAAGCAUCGGCUAACUCCGUGCCAGCAGCCGCGGUAAUACGGAGGAUGCGAGCGUUAUCCGGAUUUAUUGGGUUUAAAGGGUGCGCAGGCGGAGGUGCAAGUCAGCGGUCAAAUUGCGGGGCUCAACCAUGAGAGUGCGGCGCGAACUGGAGACCUUGAGUGCGCGGAAGGCAGGCGGAAUUCGUGGUGUAGCGGUGAAAUGCUUAGAUAUCACGAAGAACCCCGAUUGCGAAGGCAGCCUGCCGCAGCGUUACUGACGCUGAAGCUCGAAAGCGCGGGUAUCGAACAGGAUUAGAUACCCCUGUAGUC